AUUGAACGCUGGCGGCAGGCUUAACACAUGCAAGUCGAGCGGGGUGAUGGUGCUUGCACUAUCACUUAGCGGCGGACGGGUGAGUAAUGCUUAGGAAUCUGCCUAUUAGUGGGGGACAACAUCUCGAAAGGGAUGCUAAUUCCGCAUACGUCCUACGGGAGAAAGCAGGGGAUCACUUGUGACCUUGCGCUAAUAGAUGAGCCUAAGUCGGAUUAGCUAGUUGGUGGGGUAAAGGCCUACCAAGGCGACGAUCUGUAGCGGGUCUGAGAGGAUGAUCCGCCACACUGGGACUGAGACACGGCCCAGACUCCUACGGGAGGAAGCAGUGGGGAAUAUUGGACAAUGGGGGGAACCCUGAUCCAGCCAUGCCGCGUGUGUGAAGAAGGCCUUAUGGUUGUAAAGCACUUUAAGCGAGGAGGAGGCUCUUUUGGUUAAUACCCAAGAUGAGUGGACGUUACUCGCAGAAUAAGCACCGGCUAACUCUGUGCCAGCCGCCGCGGUAA
rnacentral:rRNA from 1 species